rnacentral:rRNA from 1 species
GUAGGGUGCGAGCGUUAAUCGGAAUUACUGGGCGUAAAGCGUGCGCAGGCGGUUUGUUAAGUCUGAUGUGAAAGCCCCGGGCUCAACCUGGGAACUGCAUUGGAAACUGGCAAGCUCGAGUAUGGCAGAGGGGGGUGGAAUUCCGCGUGUAGCAGUGAAAUGCGUAGAGAUGCGGAGGAACACCGAUGGCGAAGGCAGCCCCCUGGGCCAAUACUGACGCUCAGGCACGAAAGCGUGGGGAGCAAACAGGAUUAGAUACCCUGGUAGUCCACGCCCUAAACGAUGCUCACUAGGUGUUGGGGAAGCGAUUCCUUGGUACCGAAGCUAACGCGUGAAGUGAGCCGCCUGGGGAGUACGGCCGCAAGGUUA